GUGUUUGGUUUGUUUGGGUUGGUUGGAUCCCUGCUUGAGCAGCGACAACCCGUCCAUCUCACCUCUUCAAUCAUGCUCCAAGAGCGACAAGCCUUGGAUGACAUCGGUUUUCUGUGUUGCAUACCUACAUUGAUGGAAUUGUCCCUUGUACAUCUGUCCCUUUUUCGUCUUGCGCUGCUCUGGCGGUACGGGAUGAACCAAAAAGUGCCCCUCGUUGUCUUUUCCCGCCUUGCGUUUGCGUGGCGCGCGAAACGGCCAACGUUUGACACUCGAAUUCUCGGAUACGGAAACUUAAGCGGUCAAAAAGGGACCCCGGUCUCGAUUUGCCCAAACUGAGCUUUCUCGCUUCUUACGAACGACUGUCGGCGCUGUUUUGAGAUGCGGAUACUUUUGGUCCUACAAGCUCAUGCGGUGUCGGCGUCGAAGAUGAAUG
rnacentral:misc_RNA from 1 species